rnacentral:rRNA from 1 species
AUUGAACGCUGGCGGCAGGCCUAACACAUGCAAGUCGAGCGGAUGAAGAGAGCUUGCUCUCUGAUUCAGCGGCGGACGGGUGAGUAAUGCCUAGGAAUCUGCCUGAUAGUGGGGGACAACGUUUCGAAAGGAACGCUAAUACCGCAUACGUCCUACGGGAGAAAGCAGGGGACCUUCGGGCCUUGCGCUAUCAGAUGAGCCUAGGUCGGAUUAGCUAGUUGGUGAGGUAACGGCUCACCAAGGCGACGAUCCGUAACUGGUCUGAGAGGAUGAUCAGUCACACUGGAACUGAGACACGGUCCAGACUCCUACGGGAGGCAGCAGUGGGGAAUAUUGGACAAUGGGCGAAAGCCUGAUCCAGCCAUGCCGCGUGUGUGAAGAAGGUCUUCGGAUUGUAAAGCACUUUAAGUUGGGAGGAAGGGCAUUAACCUAAUACGUUAGUGUUUUGACGUUACCGACAGAAUAAGCACCGGCUAACUUCGUGCCAGCAGCCGCGGUAAUACGAAGGGUGCAAGCGUUAAUCGGAAUUACUGGGCGUAAAGCGCGCGUAGGUGGUUUGUUAAGUUGAAUGUGAAAGCCCCGGGCCUCAACCUGGGGAACUGCAUCCCAAACUGGCCAGCUAGAGUAUGGCCAGAGGGGGGGUGGGAAUUUCCUGUGUAGCGGUGAAAUGCCGUAGAUAUAGGAAGGAACCCCAGUGGCCGAA